UACGUAGGGUGCGAGCGUUGUCCGGAAUUAUUGGGCGUAAAGAGCUUGUAGGCGGUUUGUCGCGUCUGCUGUGAAAAUCCGGGGCUCAACUCCGGACUUGCAGUGGGUACGGGCAGGCUAGAGUGUGGUAGGGGAGACUGGAAUUCCUGGUGUAGCGGUGAAAUGCGUAGAUAUCGGGAGGAACACCAGUGGCGAAGGCGACUACCUGGCCCAUUCUUGACGCUGAGGCGCGAAAGCUAGGGGAGCGAACGGG
rnacentral:rRNA from 1 species